UCCAUCAUGGCCUGGACCCCUCUCCUCCUCCAGCUUCUCACCCUCUGCUCAGGGUCCUGGGCACAGUCUGGGCUAACCCAGAAAGCCUCGGUGUCAGGGUCUGUGGGACAGAAGGUCACCUUCUCCUGCACUGGAAACAGCAACAAUGUAGGAGGUUAUACUGUGGGCUGGUACCAACAGGUUUCUCAUGGCGCUCCCAAAACUGUGAUGCUUGGAAGUACUCGGCCUACAGGGAUCCCUGAUCGCUUUUCUGGCUCACAGUCUGGAACCACAGCCUCCCUGACCAUCUCGGGUCUACAGCCUGAGGACGAGGCUGAUUAUUACUGUUCAACAUGGGACAAGAGCCUCAGUGCUCACACAGUGCUGCAGACACAUGGGGAACCGAGACAAAAACCUGCCCUUGACCUGUCCUGA